GUGGGGAAUAUUGGACAAUGGGGGGAACCCUGAUCCAGCCAUGCCGCGUGUGUGAAGAAGGCCUUUUGGUUGUAAAGCACUUUAAGCGAGGAGGAGGCUACCGAGAUUAAUACUCUUGGAUAGUGGACGUUACUCGCAGAAUAAGCACCGGCUAACUCUGUGCCAGCAGCCGCGGUAAUACAGAGGGUGCAAGCGUUAAUCGGAUUUACUGGGCGUAAAGCGCGCGUAGGUGGCCAAUUAAGUCAAAUGUGAAAUCCCCGAGCUUAACUUGGGAAUUGCAUUCGAUACUGGUUGGCUAGAGUAUGGGAGAGGAUGGUAGAAUUCCAGGUGUAGCGGUGAAAUGCGUAGAGAUCUGGAGGAAUACCGAUGGCGAAGGCAGCCAUCUGGCCUAAUACUGACACUGAGGUGCGAAAGCAUGGGGAGCAAACAGGAUUAGAUACUCCAGUAGUCC
rnacentral:rRNA from 1 species